UACAGAGGGUGCGAGCGUUAAUCGGAAUUACUGGGCGUAAAGCGUGCGUAGACGGUAGCGUAAGUCAGAUGUGAAAGCCCCGGGCUCAACCUGGGAACUGCAUUUGAGACUGCUCUGCUCGGGUGCGGAAGAGGGAAGCGGAAUUUCCGGUGUAGCGGUGAAAUGCGUAGAUAUCGGGAGGAACACCUGUGGCGAAAGCGGCUCACUGGACCACAACUGACGCUGAGGCGCGAAAGCUAGGGGAGCAAACGGG
rnacentral:rRNA from 1 species